ACAUGCAAGUCGAACGGUAAGGCCCUUUCGGGGGUACACGAGUGGCGAACGGGUGAGUAACACGUGGGUGACCUGCCCUCCACUUCGGGAUAAGCCUGGGAAACUGGGUCUAAUACCGGAUAUGACCUGCGGUCGCAUGGUUGUGGGUGGAAAGCCAGUUACAUUUGUUUCUGGCGGUGGGGGAUGGGCCCGCGGCCUAUCAGCUUGUUGGUGGGGUGAUGGCCUACCAAGGCUUCGACGGGUAGCCGGCCUGAGAGGGCGUCCGGCCACACUGGGACUGAGACACGGCCCAGACUCCUACGGGAGGCAGCAGUGGGGAAUAUUGCGCAAUGGGCGGAAGCCUGACGCAGCGACGCCGCGUGGGGGAUGACGGCCUUCGGGUUGUAAACCUCUUUCGACCUCGACGAAGCCUUUGGGUGACGGUAGGGGUGGAAGAAGCACCGGCCAACUACGUGCCAGCAGCCGCGGUAACACGUAGGGUGCGAGCGUUGUCCGGAAUUAUUGGGCGUAAAGAGCUCGUAGGCGGUGUGUCGCGUCGGCCGUGAAAACCUGCAGCUUAACUGUGGGCGUGCGGUCGAUACGGGCAUCACUGGAGUUCGGCAGGGGAGACUGGAA
rnacentral:rRNA from 1 species